rnacentral:tRNA from 1 species
GCCUGGCUGGCUCUGUCAGUAGAGCACGUGACUCCUGAUUUGGGGUUGUGGGUUUGAGCCCCACGUUGGGUG